ensembl:lncRNA
CCCGCAGCCACCUUCCCACGCAGCCCGCUCCUCCUGCCAGCACCGCGGCCGCCCGUGGGAGCAGCGUCCCCGCAGGUCCACAGCUGGGAGCUCCCCCGACCCUCCUCGCCUCUCUUCGCCCCUUCCCAUACCACCGUCAACCAGGAAAAAGAUGAUGCUGGAAGCGGUACCCUCUCAAUGAUUCCACCAUUCUAUGAAAUCAAGGUUGGAAGGGACCUCCAAGGUCACCCCGUCCAACAGUCAGCCCAUACCACCGUUUCCACAAGGGCCUGGCACAACAGGGCACCAAACACCACAGCUGUUCCUCGUGUUUUUCAUCCAUAGAUCCCUGUAACUUCCCUGUUACUUCUCGAGACAGGCUUUCCAAAAGGAAAUUUGCUGGUGGUGUCUCGGUGUCUCUCACACUUCUCUCCCACAGAGUCAUUGAAUAUCCCAAGUUGGAAGGAACCCACGAGGAUCGCUGAGUCCAACGCUGCAUCACCCCAUUUAGACAUAUAACAAAUCCAACACAGAAAAUCACAGAUAAUCCCACAGCAAGCACUGAGGCUCCAGCCUGUGCCACUAGAAUAAGUACUGCAAAAAUCAAGCCCAUAGAUUUGAUGCCCUGGGAACCUAUUUGAUCACUGGCUUGUCAAGCCCUGCUGCAGCUGCAGGACCAAAUGAAAAUACACUACAGCAAUAACAACAACAACAGAUGACAGCAGCAGAAACCACAGUACUAAUAAUGCCUGUGCCUUUUAUUCGUGGGCUUGCUUGUUCCUUGGUAGCUAAUGCAUAUCUAAUAACUGCUAUUUCCAAUGGCCAUUAAGAUGUUCAAAAGCUAAUUAGGGACAGAGUUACUGUAUGGCCAGGAAGAAACCACCUUCUGUGCCUGAUUAGCACAGGGCUCAGCUUGUGCCCCCCCAUCCCACACUGCACCUGUGCACCUCUUCCCAAGUCAUCCAGCAACUGACAUGGGCUUGUGGGCUCUCCUAAAAGCAGAGCUCCCCCUAUUUCUAAGGAGCCUCAUUUGUUUGAAAUCAAGGCUAACAGUCAUUCCUCACAGGCAAUUACCCUCAAUUUCCCAACACACAAUAUACUUGGCUUGCAAAACUUUAAAAGUGUGUCAGACCACAGAUCUGAUAUGCAAUUUGCAC